rnacentral:rRNA from 1 species
GACGAACCGUGCGAACGUUAUUCGGAAUCACUGGGCUUAAAGCGCGUGUAGGCGGGCCGGCACGUCGGUCGCUGAAAUCCCCCGGCUCAACCGGGGAAGCGGCGCCGAUACGACCGGCCUGGAGGGGCGUAGGGGGAUCGGGAACUUCCGGUGGAGCGGUGAAAUGCGUUGAUAUCGGAAGGAACGCCGGUGGCGAAAGCGAGCUGCUGGACCUCUGCUGACGCUGAGGCGCGAAAGCCAGGGGAGCAAACGGG